CACGGAUGGCCAGCCCUGGUCGGAGCUGCCGCUACGUUUAGGAGGAACAGCAGGAACAGCGGUGUCCUGUGGCUCCCACCCUCCAGGGGGGCCGGGGAAGGGGUGGUGUCAGGGGCAUGGACGCUACCCCCCAGGGGUCUCUGCUGCCGGCUACUCUCCUCUCCACGCGCUCCGCCCCUCCCCCAUCCCAGCCAACCCAGGUUUCCCUGGAGUGGGCGGAGAGAACGAGUCCCAGGAAGAAGGUUGAACAGGACCACGUCCUUCUUCUAAAGCUUUCCUUGCAGGGGUCUGGGGCCGGGGGAGGGGCUCUGGACCUCUCUCUCAGCACACCGCAGCCCACAUUGCUCCUGGGGGGAAGAAUCUGAAGCGAAAUCAGGCCCCCUGCGGCCGCCGCCAUGGCGCGGGCCGGCGCCCCCCGCUCCCCGGGCCCCGAGCCGCCGCGCCGCCGCGGCCGCCAGCGCUACGUGGAGAAGGACGGCAGGUGCAACGUGCAGCAGGGCAACGUGCGCGAGCCGGGCCGCUACCUGACCGACCUGUUCACCACGCUGGCCGACCUGCAGUGGCGCCUCAGCCUGCUCUUCUUCGUGCUCGCCUACGCGCUCACCUGGCUCUUCUUCGGCGCCAUCUGGUGGCUGGUGGCCUACGGCCGCGGCGACCUGGAGCACCUGGGCGACGCGGCGUGGACGCCGUGCGUCAACAACCUCAACGGCUUCGUGGCCGCCUUCCUGUUCUCCAUCGAGACGGAGACCACCAUCGGCUACGGGCACCGCGUCAUCACCGACCAGUGCCCCGAGGGCAUCGCGCUGCUGCUGCUGCAGGCCAUCCUGGGCUCCAUGGUGAACGCCUUCAUGGUGGGCUGCAUGUUCGUCAAGAUCUCGCAGCCCAACAAGCGCGCCGCCACGCUCGUCUUCUCGUCGCACGCCGUGGUGUCGCUGCGCGACGGGCGCCUGUGCCUCAUGUUCCGCGUGGGCGACCUGCGCUCGUCGCACAUCGUCGAGGCCUCCAUCCGCGCCAAGCUCAUCCGCUCGCGCCAGACGCUGGAGGGCGAGUUCAUCCCGCUGCACCAGACCGACCUGAGCGUGGGCUUCGACACGGGCGACGACCGCCUCUUCCUCGUGUCGCCGCUCGUCAUCAGCCACGAGAUCGACGCUGCCAGCCCCUUCUGGGAGGCGUCGCGCCGCGCCCUGGAGAGGGACGACUUCGAGAUCGUCGUCAUCCUCGAGGGCAUGGUGGAGGCCACCGGAAUGACGUGCCAAGCUCGGAGCUCCUACCUGGUGGACGAGGUGCUGUGGGGCCACCGGUUCACGUCAGUGCUCACGCUGGAGGACGGCUUCUACGAGGUGGACUACGCCAGCUUCCACCAGACCUUCGAGGUGCCCACACCGUCGUGCAGCGCCCGGGAGCUGGCCGAGGCCGCCGCCCGCCUAGACGCCCAUCUUUACUGGUCCGUCCCCAGCCGGCUGGAUGAGAAGGUGGAGGAGGAGGGGGCCGGGGAGGGCGCGGGCGGAGGGGCUGGCGCGGACAAGGAGCAGAACGGCUGCCUGCCGCCCCCGGAGAGCGAGUCCAAGGUGUGACCAGUUUUCCUCCAGACCCCUGUGGCAGGGCCAGACACCGGUACCUGGGAGCUGGAUGGCGCGGGCGGAGGAGGAGGCAGGCAAGGCCCCCCCCCCAGGGGACGCGCUGAGGCCGGAGAGCCCCCUCAGAAUGGCAAGCCCAGAAUCCAGCGGACGGCGCGGGGCCUGGUUUCGGGAGGACGGACGGUGGGGACGGGUAACGUGCCAGCCUGUCUGUGUUCGGCCCUCACGUCUGUUCACGGGUGGACGGAUGGGCAGAAGGAUGGAUCUAUGCGGGGCUGGAUGGGGAGACGGGAGCAGACGGACGGACGCUGGCGGGGAGGUAGACGGACAGACGCAGGUGGCGGGCCCGGGGCCGCUGCUCGGCCCUAGGGCAUCUCUGUGCGAAUUCUGGAAAGGCGCCCUUUCCCUCCGGAACCGAUGCCGUCCCGAACCAGAGGGCACGGCUUGGGGAGCGGAGUGCGGGCUGGGUUUUAGUCCCCACUCACCUCCCCGGCCAGCCUCCCCGUGCUGCGGCCCACCUGUCUCGCUGGACACGGUGGCCCGAGCUGACCCCGAGGAGAGAACGCAGGGCCGACGGAGGUGGGCCGGGCCGAGGGUGCCCGCCCCGCCCCCACCACUGUGACCGGAGCAGGAGGGCCGAAGGCUGCGGGGGUGGCUCGGCCGGGUGUGAGUGACCUUGCCCCCACGUGCAGGGAGACAGGGCCCGGGGAAGGAGGAGCAGGGACGGCUAUUUUCUGACAGCGGGACGAGAUCUCAUAAAUAGCACUGCAGCGGCAGGAGAGGAAGAGGGACGCUCCGGGGAAGAAGAAGGGCCAGGAGAGGUCUAGAAAGUGAGUUCGCUCGAGCUAGGGUACAGGGGCCCGUGGGAAAGCGGAGUUUGUCCUGGGGCACGGCGACCCGGGCGCCACUGGCGGGGUUCACCGGGUGCACGUUGGGUACAGGGCACUGACCCAGCACAGGCGGGGCGGGCGUUCGGAGACCUGGUUCCCGUCCUCGGGACACGGUGUCCCUGAGGCAACCGCACCAGGUGUGGCUCAAAUGGAACCCGACCGUCUCUCGGAGCAGAGGGCGGGAGGGUUCGGUGAUCGGAAAGCUGGGGACUGAGUAAGGCCCAGAGAACGACAGAGAACGAGUAAGCCAGCACUUGCCAACUGGCGUGUCCGUCAGAGUCGCCUGCAGACCUUGUGGAAACGCAGACGGCUGGGCCCCGCUCCCGGAGUUUCGGCCUCGACAGGUGUGGGGUAGAGACCAAAAACUUGCAUUUCUAGCAAGUUCCCAGGUCAUGCCGAUGCUGCUGGUAUGGGGGCCGCACUUUGAGAACCACUGCUCUACGUAGACUUGGAAGUCACGUCAGGAGGUAGGGCAUUUGAGCUGAGGAGGAGCUGAAGGGGAAUUGUGGAGAAGCUGAGGGGGAGCCGAGAAGAAACUGAGGGGAAGCUGAAGGGGAAGCUAAGGAGCAGCUGAGGAGUAGCUGAGGGUAGCUAAGGAAUAGCUGAGGAGAAGCUGAAGGGAAGCUGAGGAGUAGCUGAGCAAAAGCUGAGAAUCGCAGCAGGAGGAGACUGAAUACAAAGGGCGGGCUAUCAUGACUGGGAAAAGGGACCCUGAAAUGCAGGCUGACAAGUUUAACCCCGGGCCCGGGAACUCACCUCUCAGUAGAAACGCCGCAGCGAUAAGCUGGAGAUGGCGUUUGGGGAAGACGAAGCCGUCAGGAGUCCCGGGGGCG